rnacentral:lncRNA from 1 species
GGGGUUUUAUGUUGUUUACCCGCAAAGGAUGAAACCAUCUUACUAAGGAAUGGAUGAGAUGAAAUUCGAAACAAAUAAAGAAGAAUAUUCCAAGUAAUUUGGAAAUGGGGUCGUGCCCUGGUGACAAAACUUAUUUGAACUAAAUGACAAGUCUAACUAAAUUAAAUGACAAUCUACUAAUGCUAAUUUUUGGUUCGUGAUGCGGUCAACAAUAAACUAACUCGAAUCACCUCAAAUUGACUCUUGAACCUACAACGAAUAUUCAAGAGCCGAUAUGAUCUUGUGAUGAUCUUCUUCAAUUUGAUG